AAAGUAGCUGUGCUACUUUGCUGACGAGUGGCGGACGGGUGAGUAAUGUCUGGGGAUCUGCCUGAUGGAGGGGGAUAACUACUGGAAACGGUAGCUAAUACCGCAUAAUGUCGCAAGACCAAAGCGGGGGACUUUCGGGCCUCGCACCAUCAGAUGAACCCAGAUGGGAUUAGCUAGUAGGUAGGGUAAUGGCUUACCUAGGCGACGAUCCCUAGCUGGUCUGAGAGGAUGACCAGCCACACUGGAACUGAGACACGGUCCAGACUCCUACGGGAGGCAGCAGUGGGGAAUAUUGCACAAUGGGCGCAAGCCUGAUGCAGCCAUGCCGCGUGUAUGAAGAAGGCCUUCGGGUUGUAAAGUACUUUCAGUCAGGAGGAAGGGUGUGAAAUUAAUACUUUCAUGCAUUGACGUUACUGACAGAAGAAGCACCGGCUAACUCCGUGCCAGCAGCCGCGGUAAUACGGAGGGUGCAAGCGUUAAUCGGAAUUACUGGGCGUAAAGCGCACGCAGGCGGUUUGUUAAGUCAGAUGUGAAAUCCCCGGGCUCAACCUGGGAACUGCAUUUGAAACUGGCAAGCUUGAGUCUUGUAGAGGGGGGUAGAAUUCCAGGUGUAGCGGUGAAAUGCGUAGAGAUCUGGAGGAAUACCGGUGGCGAAGGCGGCCCCCUGGACAAAGACUGACGCUCAGGUGCGAAAGCGUGG
rnacentral:rRNA from 1 species